UACGGGGGGGGCAAGCGUUGUUCGGAAUUACUGGGCGUAAAGGGCUUGUAGGUGGCCAACUAAGUCAGACGUGAAAUCCCUCGGCUUAACCGGGGAACUGCGUCUGAUACUGGAUGGCUUGAGUGUGGGAGAGGGAUGCGGAAUUCCAGGUGUAGCGGUGAAAUGCGUAGAUAUCUGGAGGAAUACCGGUGGCGAAGGCGGCAUCCUGGACCGGCAUUGACGCUGAUGAGCGAAAGCUAGGGGAGCAAACGGGG
rnacentral:rRNA from 1 species